AAAAACCAUGCAAAACAAUGCAAAACAAGCAUAAUAUCUCUAAAACUAACUUUUGACUCUCAAGAGACUCAACUUAAGUGUUUCACUUGAUUUAGAGCUCAUUCUAAGCCUCUGAGGGUGUGUUUUACUAUCAAAUUUAAGUAUGAAAAUAACGGUUUUUAGACCGUUAUCACAACCCCAAACUUAGAACUUUGCUUGUCCUCAAGCAAACAAGACAAAACCUGGCUUUCCACAUUUUCAUCAAAUAAUUCACGCUUUCGAAACUCCUUUUUCUCAUGAGAAGUUAUUAAUACAAUUCAGAUUUCAGUGGAAUCCUAAAAAAAUGCAUUCAUACUUUCAAUCCAAAUUAGUUCACAUAAUCAAUCCUUUUCCAAUAGAUGUUUUGUUCACGAAUGAGCAAUCAACUAAACAUAGAUGUAAACAUGGAUUUAACAAUUCGCACCAAGCAAGUUUUUCACUCAAUCACUCAAGUGUUUAGGGAGGUCACUCUACUCUCUACUGUUCACAUGUCACAUAAAACAAUAUUGUCAUUCAUCUAAAACAAUCAACAUCUUCACAUGCAAAUGUCAUCACAAGGACUUUUUCCAAGGCUUGUAUUAUGGCUAGGCUAACAAGAAAAUUGGUUUUUCUGGAAUACAAAAUCCUCAAGUUAAGAGAUUUUAAAUCAUCUUUCAAGGUUCAAACACUCUCUUUUUAACCAAUCUCACUCAUUCCCAGCUUUUCCCUUUUUCAUUUUACAUUGAGUUCUUUUUAC
rnacentral:lncRNA from 1 species